CCCACAAGAAAUUUCCUUGUGGGCAAAUUGUGAGGGAGAUUUUUUUUUUAUCUUUGUAGCUGUCUUAUUUAGGAAUAAAAUGGGAGGUAGGUUCGCCUGACAUAGUUUCCAGCUUGACUUUUCCCUUGGCUUAGUGAUUUUGGAAUCCGAGAUUUAUUUUCCUUUCACAUUUUUUCUGUUUCUUUUUAAAAUCUUUCAGAAAGAGCAUUUUAGAAGAAAAUGAGUCUCCAGUCUCAGGUUUUUCUGAUCACUUAUAGCUAGGAUGAUCUAUUCUAGACAGGUAGGUCUCACAUUAUUAGAAAAGCUCAUUUUUAGCAGGUUGUAAAGUAUCAUGUUCUACAAACAGAAAAUAGGGACAGAAAGAAAGAAAACAACAAACAAAUGAAAAGAUAGAGCCAUUUUUCUCUGAAGUUCAUACAUCAGUAGGCUGGCAUAUAGGUUGCUGUUAUUUUCUUCUGAAGUUUAAGUUGUGUAGCUUCAGUUCACAGGGUUUUAAGAAAGCACAGCAUAACUUUUAGUGAUUUCAAAUCACAAAAAAUGGAAAAAAAGGAAGGAAAGAAGAAAAAAAUUGAAAAUAUUAUUUUGAAUACCUGUACCCCCCCAAAAUUUUUAAAUUCAGUCCAAACUAGAAAAUAAUAAAAAUUGAAAAAUAUUAGGCAAGACUAGAAUCUAAUAACAGGUACACUAUAGUUCACUUUGAAAAAUAAUUUUUCUCUCUCCAGUCCCCAUUUUCACUAAAUACAAAUCAUAGGACAAAUUUAUGCAUAAAAUAAGUGUUAGUCUUAUUAUACUUGGCCUGUGUAUUUGCAUGAAGUCAGCAAGAAUAAUUAUGUGCUGGCUGGGCGCAGUGGCUCACACGAGGCACCACAGCUGGCCCAGAAAGUGACAUGCUUUACUUACCACACGUCAGGAAACUGUACAGGAACUGUGUGGAAAGGCAUGAGGCCAGCUUUCCCAAGGGGCUUUUAUGACUCUGUAAGUCAACUUUGAUUCCUUAAAGCAGUUGAUUUAUAUCUGAAAGUAAGCCAUUCCAAUCAAAGCCUUGGUAAAAUAACCAGUGUCUUCAAUUGUAUCCUGUUACAAAAGAAAACAGAUUCUUAUUGAACUUAUGCAAAUAACUAGACUGCUAUAAAUUAAGUAUACUUGCUAAUAGUUUUCAAAUUCUGGAGAAUUCAGGUAGAGGAAUAUGCUUCAGAUUUUGCUCAC
rnacentral:lncRNA from 1 species